ACCCAGUAGAAAAGAAUAGCGCUUGAGUAUUAAUAGUUAUAUUCUUUAAAUUCAAAGAAUUUGGCGGUAUUUUAGUCCCGUUAGAGGAACCUGUUCUUUAAACGAUAAAACACGUAAAAUCUUACUUAAUUUUAUUGUAGUUUGUAUACCGUCAUUAUUAAAUAAUCUUGAAAGAGCCAACUAUUGAGGCUGACAGAGUAAGUUAAAUGUAUUAGAUCAAGGUGCAGCUUAUAGUUAAGUAGAAAUGGGUUACAAUAAUAUACACAUUUAGAACGAAUUGUAAAUAGAAUUAUUUACAGGAAGGUGGAUGUAAUUGUAAAAAUAAUUUAAUAAGAUAUUUUGAGAUAGGCUCUAAAUUAUGUACAUAUCGCCCGUCGCUUUCAUUUUAAAUGAAAUAAGUCGUAACAUA
rnacentral:rRNA from 1 species